GGUAGGGGAGCGUUGUGUACCGGGUUGAAGGUAGACCGGAAGGACUGCUGGACUGUACACAAGUGAGAAUGCCGGUAUGAGUAACGAAAAGACAUGUGAGAAUCAUGUCCGCCGAAAGCCUAAGGGUUCCUGGGGAAGGCUCGUCCGCCCAGGGUAAGUCGGGACCUAAGGCGAGGCCGAAAGGCGUAGUCGAAGGACAACAGGUUGAAAUUCCUGUACCACCGUAAACCGUUAUGAGCAAUGGGGUGACGCAGAAGGAUAGGGACGCGAGCUGAUGGAUGCUCGUCCAA
rnacentral:rRNA from 1 species